AGCCACUAAUACCUGAUGUAAU
rnacentral:siRNA from 1 species